rnacentral:rRNA from 1 species
CUUUUAAAGGGCCGCGGUAAUUUGACCGUGCGAAGGUAGCAUAAUCAUUAGCCACUUAAUUAGUGGAUGGAAUGAAAGGUUGGAUGAGGGAUAAGCUGUCUUUUAAUAAAGCUAGAAUUUUACUUUUAAGUGAAAAGGCUUUAAUUUUAUAAAGUGAAGAUAAGACCCUAUAAAACUUCAUAGAACUUUGAUUAUAGUAAUUUUAUUGUGUAAAAAAUAAUACAAUCAUUUUUUAUUUUGUUGGGGCGACAGGAAUAGAAUCUGUAUCUGUUUUUUUAAAGUGUUAAUAAUUGUUAAUUUAUGAUCCUUUAAUAAAGAUUAAAAGAUUAAGUUACUUUAGGGAUAACAGCGUGAUUUUCUUUGAGAGUUCUUAUCGACAAGAUUAGUUGCGACCUCGAUGUUGAAUUAAAAUUAUUCUAAUAAGUGCAGUAGCUUAUAUAGUAAGUCUGUUCGACUUUUAAAAUUUUACAUGAUCUGAGUUCAAACCGGAGAUG